UUUCCGGUUGAUCCUGCCGGAGGCUACUGUAUUGGGAUUCGACUAAGCCAUGCGAGUCAAGGUGUCUUCGGAGGGGGGCAUACGGCUCAGUAACACGUAGGUAACCUACCCUCAGGACUGAGAUAACCCCGGGAAACUGGGGCUAAUAUUAGAUAGAUAAAAGAUACUGGAAUGUUCUUUUAUCCAAAGCUUUUGCGCCUGAGGAUGGGCCUGCGUCCGAUUAGGUUGUUGGUGGGGUAAUGGCCCACCAAGCCUGCGAUCGGUACGGGCAGUGAGAGCUGAAGCCCGGAGUUGGGGACUGAGACAAGGCCCCAGGCCCUACGGGGCGCAGCAGGCGCGAAACCUCUGCAAUGCGGGAAACCGUGACAGGGGGAUCCCAAGUGCUCAUGCAUUGCAUGGGCUGUUCUUUGGUCUAAGUAACCAGAGGAGUAAGGGCUGGGCAAGACCGGUGCCAGCCGCCGCGGUAAUACCGGCAGCUCAAGUGGUAGCCGCGAUUAUUGGGCCUAAAGCGUUCGUAGCCGGAUAAGUAAGUCUUUGGUUAAAUCCUGCAACUUAACUGUGGGAAAUCUAGAGAUACUGCUUGUCUUGAGACCGGGAGAGGUUGGAGGUACUCCCAGGGUAGGGGUGAAAUCCUGUAAUCCUGGGGGGACCACCUGUGGCGAAGGCGUCCAACUGGAACGGGUCUGACGGUGAGGGACGAAACCUAGGGGAGCGAGCCGGAUUAGAUACCCGGGUAGUCCUAGGCGUAAAUGAUGCGAGUUCUUGUGGAGAAGGCAUCUACGAGAUGGCCCUGUGCUGUAGGGUAGCCGUUAAACUCGCCGCCUGGGGAGUACGGUCGCUCCGGCUGUAACUUAAAGGAAUUGGCGGGGGAGCACCACAAGACGGUGGUGCUCCCUUCAAUUGGAUUCAACGCCGGAAAUGCGU
rnacentral:rRNA from 1 species